UGCAGUCGAACGGCAGCGGGGGAGCGUGCUCUCGCCGGCGAGUGGCGAACGGGUGAGUAAUACAUCGGAACGUACCCAGUAGCGGGGGAUAGCCCGGCGAAAGCCGGAUUAAUACCGCAUACGCCCUACGGGGGAAAGGGGGGGAUCGUAAGACCUCUCACUAUUGGAGCGGCCGAUGGCUGAUUAGCUAGUUGGUGGGGUAAAGGCCUACCAAGGCGACGAUCAGUAGCUGGUCUGAGAGGACGACCAGCCACACUGGGACUGAGACACGGCCCAGACUCCUACGGGAGGCAGCAGUGGGGAAUUUUGGACAAUGGGCGAAAGCCUGAUCCAGCAAUGCCGCGUGUGCGAAGAAGGCCUUCGGGUUGUAAAGCACUUUUGUCAGGGAAGAAAUCGUUUGGGCUAAUACCCCGAGCAGUUGACGGUACCUGAAGAAUAAGCACCGGCUAACUACGUGCCAGCAGCCGCGGUAAUACGUAGGGUGCGAGCGUUAAUCGGAAUUACUGGGCGUAAAGCGUGCGCAGGUGGUUUGUUAAGACAGUUGUGAAAUCCCCGGGCUUAACCUGGGAACUGCAAUUGUGACUGACAGACUAGAGUUUGGCAGAGGGGGGUGGAAUUCCUGGUGUAGCAGUGAAAUGCGUAGAUAUCAGGAGGAACACCGAUGGCGAAGGCAGCCCCCUGGGCCAUGACUGACACUCAUGCACGAAAGCGUGGGGAGCAAACAGGAUUAGAUACCCUGGUAGUCCACGCCCUAAACGAUGUCAAC
rnacentral:rRNA from 1 species